rnacentral:rRNA from 1 species
GACGAACGCUGGCGGCGUGCUUAACACAUGCAAGUCGAGCGGUAAGGCCCUUUCGGGGGUACACGAGCGGCGAACGGGUGAGUAACACGUGGGUGACCUGCCCUUAGCUCUGGGAUAAGCCUGGGAAACUGGGUCUAAUACCGGAUAUGACUCCAUGACGCAUGUUGUGGGGUGGAAAGCCUUGUGCGGCUAGGGAUGGGCCCGCGGCCUAUCAGCUUGUUGGUGGGGUGAUGGCCUACCAAGGCGACGACGGGUAGCCGGCCUGGGAGGGCGACCGGCCACACUGGGACUGAGACACGGCCCAGACUCCUACGGGAGGCAGCAGUGGGGAAUCUUGCGCAAUGGGCGAAAGCCUGACGCAGCGACGCCGCGUGAGGGAUGACGGCCUCGG